GACGAACGCUGGCGGCGUGCUUAACACAUGCAAGUCGAACGGUAAGGCCCUUCGGGGUACACGAGUGGCGAACGGGUGAGUAACACGUGGGUGAUCUGCCCUGCACUUCGGGAUAAGCCUGGGAAACUGGGUCUAAUACCGGAUAGGACCACUGCCUGCAUGGGUGGUGGUGGAAAGCUUUUGCGGUGUGGGAUGGGCCCGCGGCCUAUCAGCUUGUUGGUGGGGUGAUGGCCUACCAAGGCGACGACGGGUAGCCGGCCUGAGAGGGUGACCGGCCACACUGGGACUGAGAUACGGCCCAGACUCCUACGGGAGGCAGCAGUGGGGAAUAUUGCACAAUGGGCGGAAGCCUGAUGCAGCGACGCCGCGUGAGGGAUGACGGCCUUCGGGUUGUAAACCUCUUGCAGCACCGACGAAGCGCAAGUGACGGUACCUGCAGAAGAAGCACCGGCUAACUAUGUGCCAGCCGCCGCCGUAA
rnacentral:rRNA from 1 species